rnacentral:rRNA from 1 species
GAUGAACGCUGGCGGCGUGCCUAAUACAUGCAAGUCGAGCGAAGCGGGGACGGGUGAGUAACACGUGGAUAACCUGCUAUAAGACUGGGAUAAAUUAGGGAAAACGGAGCUAAACCGGAAACUUAUAGAUGGGUCCGCGCUGCAUUAGCUAGUUGGUAAGGUAACGGAUUACCAAGGCAACGAUGCAUAGCCGACCUGAGAGGUGGAUCGGCCACACUGGAACUGAGACACGGCCCAGACUCCUACGGGAGGCAGCAGUAGGGAAUCUUCCACAAUGGGCGAAAGCCUGACGGAGCAACGCCGCGUGAGUGAUGAAGGUCUUCGGAUCGUAAAACUCUGUUAUUAGGGAAGCGGUACCUAAUCAGAAAGCCACGGCUAACUACGUGCCAGCAGCCGCGGUAAUUC